AAUAAAAAUAUAUGCGAAAUUUGACACAAUGGUGUUUGUUGUACUACCCCGAACUCCGCAGAGUAGCACAAUAGCUCUCCGAUUGUUUAUGUGCUUUCGACCAGCCGUAUCGAUACGCGCUACUCGAUGAAUGUCGCAGCGUAAAGAACCGAGUAACAGCGACGCAAGUACAGGUGCUAUAACCUGCUUUGUUGAUGCCCGCAAAUAUUUUAUUUAACAACUUUUUUGAUACUAUUUUAACGAUUAAACAUUAAAACGUUAAAAGACACAUCUACAAGACAAAGAAAUGCUGUCAAGAAGAAGUGGUAAAGUUAUGGAACACAGCAAAACAAAAGUAUCCAAAGAAAGAAGAUUUGGUGAAACAUAUUCAGCAUGAGAUUGAUCAGCUUCUAAGAGAAGCAGCGGAAAAAAGGUCUCUCUCUAAGGUAGGUUAGAUACCUCUGUUUUCUAUAUGCUAUUUAUGCUAUAACUUUAAUAUUAAUUCAUCUAAAUAUUCUUGAUUUUAGUUAUUUUAGGUUCUUUAGCUAUUUUAGAGACCUAAAAUCAAGAAAAUUUAGAUGCAUUGAUAUAUCAAAAGGUCUAAGAAAUAAGAAAUAGGAGAAAUUUAAUUUUAUGUACAAUAUAUUUCAAGAUUGUGCUGAGGAGAAAAAAAUAUAGAUCUUCUUAGGGGAAAGUUAAAAAAUGCAUAAUUUUGUUUUAAACGUCUCUAAUUUGUGAAUCUUGAGUUUUUAUAAUGAUACAUUUAUUCAAGGGAAACACUCGGAGCUCUGAUAAUGUUUCAACACAAGUUGAUACAAGCGCUCAAGGUACGUCAAACUUAGAAUUCACGAGUCAAACUGAAAUUAACAUCCGGAUUAUUCAACAUGAGGAAUCAGUGACUCGAAAUGAGAUUUCUCACUAUAAUCAGCGGCUCAUGGAUCAAGAUUACGAUAAUGAACCUCAACUGGCAGGUGCUACAAAACGGAAAAUUCAGCGACGAUGAGAGAUGAGAAGUUGCGGCAAGAAAUUGAUAAUUUUGAAAAACAGCUCAAACCUAAGGAGAACCAAAGAGUAUACUCGAUGAAGCAUAGAUAAAAUAAAAAUUAUCGAAUUGUGUUCUAAAAAUCCUGGAGCAGCAAAAUCGUUGAUACCUCGAGUAAGCUCUAGACUUCCGCGCUUCGAGGAAGAGCAGUCUGAAUUGCUGAAAACUAUUAGUGAUUUAGCUAUGUUUGGUGCAUCAGCUGAGGAACGGCGUCGCUGUGAAAUUGUUCCUAGUGUCCAUAGUCUUUCAGAGCUCACUCAAAAACUUAUCGAGCUGGGAUUUAAUAUUUCUCGAAGCGCCGCUUACAUUCGACUGUUGCCUAGACGGGCAGAUACGCGGUAGGCUAAGCACCACGUAGUGACUGUAACGGUGAAGUUGAGUCGUCCUGAAGCAGACCAUCAUAAAGCGCACCAAGACCAAUACUUUUUUGUAGCUUCCAUAAGGUCACUAGAAACUGUAGCCUCAAUACUUGGCUCUGAUUCUAUAUCUUUUUUAUCCCAAGAUGACAAAGCAUGGGUCCCCAUAGGAUUGACAACAGCAAACAAGCAGGCGCCUUUGCUAAUGCACGUUGAGUAUAAAGUGUCGUUACCAGAUCAUGACUUUAUAAUUGCUGCAAGACAUAAAUUGAUCCCGAGUGUCUAUGCUUUGUGUGAAGUAAAACCGAAUGACAUGGGGCGGCCAGAAGCCGUCUCAUAUAGUGGAAUAACAUAUAUAGCAAUCCAAAGUGGUAAGCACUCGUCUUCGACUGCAACUAGUCAAGCUGAAGACUUGGACACUCUCUUAACUCUUCAGCCUUUUGGUAAAUUAAUGAAAAACGAAGACGAUAAAGUCAAGCCUGUCCUUAUUAUUUCGAACGAUGGCGGUCCCGAUGAGAACCCGCGAUAUCAGAAAGUAAUUGUACAUUCAAUACAGCAUUUUAAAAAAUAUGAAUUUGACGCAAUAUUCAUUGGGACUAAUGCCCCCGGCAGAAGUGCUUUCAAUAGAGUAGAGAGACGUAUGGCUCCACUUAGCCGAGAACUAUCAGGUGUUGUUCUUCCCCAUGACUCUUUUGAGUCACAUCUUGACUCCACGGUAAAACAAUUAAUGAUGAUUUAAAAAAAGAUAACUUCAAAAAAGCGGAAACGACAUUUCUAAUGUUCCAGAUUUUCCAGCUGAAGAAUGGUACACCGAGCAUUUUAGAGAGAGUCAAUAUUUACUUCAGGUUGUAAAAUGCGAUGAUCAGCAGUGCUGCAGUCCGCGUCGGAGUUCUUUACAUGUACUUCUACAUGAUCUUUUUUUAUUACCUCCAUAUUCCAUUCAAGUUAAUGGACAUCCGGCGAUUCCGGAUCCUGAACAGCAUGAUGGAAAAACAUUUGCACCAUUCUUAAUUCGCCACUGCCUACCUAUUCAACCAUUACACACCUUCACAAGCAUGCCUUAUGACCUCUAUUGUCCAAAUUUAGGUCACGAUAUAGAAAAGAGAUGCUGCAAUACAUGUGGUAUCUAAUUCGCAUCCAUCACAAAAGUUACGGAACAUCGAUGUGCGGCUCAUCAUGCACGAGAUGUGCAAACACUUAAAUUGCGACCAUAGCGUAUUGUUACAAGACAAGCGACUGGGUGCAAGCGACAACGGUUUGGAGUGGCUCAAUCAGAACGAAGUUGAAGGAGCAGAUGAUUUCAUUGAAAAUUAUUUGAAUACCCUGGUUCUAGUAGUCACUCUUGAGAGUGCACGAGUCUCCAUGGACUGAAUUAGAAUAAUCUCUUAUUAAUUUACGUUGAAGUAUUUAUUAUUUAAUUUCAUCACAGUGAUUUUUAACUAAGGCAAUAUUCUCAAAUCAGAAUUGUAUACUAGUCUUUAAUAAAAGUGAUAGAGCAAAUU